rnacentral:lncRNA from 1 species
GUGGUGGCGUUGGCGUCCUAGAGCUCCGGAGUUGCUUACCCUUCCUGUAAGGGCAAUCGGACCCUUUCCGGUGAGGGAACCUCUCUCCAGACAUGAUCAAGAGAAACUGGCGAGGGACUGACAUGAUCUAGCUUACCUUGGGUCACCGAACGGAUUUGGCAUGUGACAUAAUUAUCCCAGCGAUCACUAAAACUGUAAAUUUGGAUGCAAUUAAGAGAGAAAACUCCACACAUUUAUGGAAAUUUAAGAUUAUUUAGCUUGCAUUACUAAAGUGUGAAUAUUUUCAAGAUAUUGAAUAUGUAGUAUAUGCCAGACAAGAUGAUAAUAAAAACUAAAAGCAUCUGGAUGUUGAAUUCUCAGCUCCUUCUCCAGGACCAUGUCUGCCUGGAUGCUGCCAUGCCAUGCUUCCUGCCAUGAGAAUAAUAGACUCAACCUCUGAAACUAUUUGCAGCUUGCUGGCUUGCUGAGUGGAAAAUGAUUCUUUCCCAGUUCUCCUUGGUUUCUUCCUUUCAUGAAUUGAUUAACACUGAGAGAUUAUGUUUUAAUUAUGUCGACUAGAGGUUUUAAAUGAUUCUAGGUUUCUGUGUCCAUUUGUUUUCCUAGGUUUGGGGAAUUUGCUACUGCAAUAUCGUUGUAUAGAUAUUCUUUGCUUUAGUGAGAAACUCAGCUCCUUCUACUCUGUGGUUCUUAGCUUUAGUCUAUUGUACACAUCACAGAGUUAAUGAAAGCUGUGGUCAUACUUGAUUUUUUCUUCAUUACUAUUGAAAUAAAGCAUAUCCUUGA